CGAUGUCGGCUCUUCCUAU
rnacentral:ncRNA from 3 species